rnacentral:rRNA from 1 species
UCCGAAGGGUGCAAUCGUUGUUCGGAAUUACUGGGCGUAAAGGGCGCGUAGGCUGGUUUGUAAGUCAUCUGUGAAAUCCCCGGGCUUAACCUGGGACGUGCAGCUGAAACUGCAGAUCUUGAAUGCUUGAGAGGGUGGUGGAAUUCCAGGAGUAGAAGUGAAAUUCGUAGAUAUCUGGAGGAACACCUGAGGCGAAGGCGGCCACCUGGCAAGACAUUGACGCUAAAGCGCGAAAGUGCGGGGAGCAAACAGG